rnacentral:rRNA from 1 species
AACGAACGCUGGCGGCAUGCCUAACACAUGCAAGUCGAACGAGACCUUCGGGUCUAGUGGCGCACGGGUGCGUAACGCGUGGGAACCUGCCCUUAGGUUCGGAAUAACUCCCCGAAAGGGGUGCUAAUACCGGAUAAUGUCUUCGGACCAAAGAUUGAUCGUCCUUGGAUGGGCCCGCGUUGGAUUAGCUAGUGGGUAGGGUAAAAGCCUACCAAGGCGACGAUCCAUAGCUGGUCUGAGAGGAUGAUCCGCCACACUGGGACUGAGACACGGCCCAGACUCCUACGGGAGGCAGCAGUGGGGAAUAUUGGACAAUGGGCGAAAGCCUGAUCCAGCAAUGCCGCGUGAGUGAUGAAGGCCUUAGGGUUGUAAAGCUCUUUUACCCGGGAUGAUAAUGACAGUACCGGGAGAAUAAGCUCCGGCUAACUCCGUG